rnacentral:misc_RNA from 1 species
AGUAACUGCAGCUCCAAUUCCACUUACACGAGCUGAAGGGGGCAUAUAGGAUCCACUAACCUGGUUGAAGCCAUCAAUACCAUGCCCAGUGUGAUCCAAACCAUCAACAACCUGACCAUCAGUAUUUACAUCUUUAUCUUGCAAUGCAACAGCAGCAGGCUUAGUCCAACCCAUACCAGAAGAUGAUGGCCUCGGCCCAUUUCCUUGACCGCCACCUCCUGAUGUCCCACCACCGGAUCCUGAUAAAUCAAAUUUCUCAUGCUCUUUCCUCAAUGAAGGCAAAUUCAAGGGGGGUGGAACAGAUAGUUUCGGCCCAAUUUUCUGAGUACUCCGAUGCCUUGACAGAACAACCAUUCCUCCACCUCCGCUACCAGACCGCCCACGGCCGACACCGGCGGCUGGGCCAUUAGAACCACUAUAAGAUUUAUUAUCAUGAUGAGAAGACUGCCCAUAUGAUUUAUUCAAAUUCACAGAGACGAAUCUGCUCCCAACACCGCCAUGAUUGGCCAUAUCAGAAACCCAGAAAGCAUCAAAAGUAUGUAUAACAGUGUUUUCUGUAGCCCCUAAAAGAUGUUUAUCGUCCCCAAUAUCUCACUGAAAAA